UCUUCAGAUUCCCAUCAAGGUGCUGAGGGGUCACACAGAUGCUGUCACCGGCUGCCACUUCUGCUUUGACGACACCAAAGUCCUGACCAGUUCCCAGGACAAGACGGCCGCUCUGUGGGACACGGAGAGUGGCGCCGCGCUGUUGGUGUUUGAGAGAGGACAUCUGUCCAACAUCUCUGAGUGUGCCUUGAUCCCUGACAAGAAAAGGCUGAUUACUGCAUCAUGGGACAAGACCCUAAAUGCAUGGGACCUGGAGACUGGCAAGAUCAUUGUGAGUG